AUGGCUGUUGCGUUGCAGGUCUGCCGCCGGCGAGCAGCACCAUGGAUGUUGCGUUGCAGCUCUUUCGCCGGCGAGCAGCGCCAUGGAUGUUGCAUCGAAGCUUCGUCGCCAGCGAGCAGCACUACAGAUGCUGCGUUGAAGCACUGCAGCUUCAACAACCAUCGCGAGUGCAGCCGCCGGCGAGAGCUCCCUUGCAGCCAAGCAGUACCGCCGCUGGCAAGCUCCACGGGAUCGGGGCGCCGCUUGUGCUGCAUUGUAGCUCCGCCGUCGUGGCGAGUUCCACGGGGACGCGACUUCCUCCGGCGAUGGGCGGCGUCCGCCUCCGGCGAGCGGUGCCAGGCUCCAGCCUCCUCCUUCAUGCUGCAGCGCCAUGCCUCCUCUCCCGCGUUUGACAUCAAGCGGGUGGAAAGAAGUGGGAACGAACAUGUGGAUGCGAAGAAGAUAAGGCUGGGCGGUUGUGAGCGACGCGUGGGGCUGGACACGUGUCCGUGCGUUCCAGGCGGCUUACGCGCCGUGGAAAAUCAGCCGGCUUAA
rnacentral:rRNA from 1 species